rnacentral:lncRNA from 1 species
ACCGUGUCCUUUUGUACUAUACCCCACCACCCCGAGCUGUCUGCCCCACAACUCUCUCGCUCGAUCUCUCUCUCUCUCUCUCUCUCUCUCUCUCUUCCUCUCACUCUCUCUCUCUGGCUGACGCCAACGCCUACGCCGACACCGCUGCCGCCGCCGCCCGAGGUGUUUCCCCACCCUCAUUCUCUCUCUAGCCCUGGAAGCCCCCACCUCUCUCUCUCUCUCUUUCUCUGUGGCCCACCCGCCACCGCCAGCGACGCCGGCGCCACCCUCAUCCGGCCAAGAACACCUCCCCACCCAUCUUGCUCUCUCUAACCCUAGAACAUCAAUGUCACGACCCGCCGCUGCCAGCCAAUUU